rnacentral:rRNA from 1 species
GAAGAACGCCUUUCAGGUUGUAAAGCACUUUCAGUCGUGAGGAAAGGUUAGUGUAGUUAAUAGCUGCAUUAUUUGACGUUAGCGACAGAAGAAGCACCGGCUAACUCCCGUGCCAGCAGCCGCGGUAAUACGGAGGGUGCGAGCGUUAAUCGGAAUUACUGGGCGUAAAGCGCAUGCAGGUGGUUUGUUAAGUCAGAUGUGAAAGCCCGGGGCUCAACCUCGGAAUWGCAUUUGAAACUGGCAGACUAGAGUACUGUAGAGGGGGGUAGAAUUYCAGGUGUAGCGGUGAAAUGCGUAGAGAUCUGAAGGAAUACCGGUGGCGAAGGCGGCCCCCUGGACAGAUACUGACACUCAGAUGCGAAAGCGUGGGGAGCAAACAGGAUUAGAUACCCUGGUAGUCCACGCCGUAAACGAUGUCUACUUGGAGGUUGUGGCCUUGAGCCGUGGCUUUCGGAGCUAACGCGUUAAGUAGACCGCCUGGGGAGUACGGUCGCAAGAUUAAAACUCAAAUGAAUUGACGGGGGCCCGCACAAGCGGUGGAGCAUGUGGUUUAAUUCGAUGCAACGCGAAGAACCUUACCUACUCUUGACAUCCAGAGAACUUUYCAGAGAUGGAUUGGUGCCUUCGGGAACUCUGAGACAGGUGCUGCAUGGCUGUCGUCAGCUCGUGUUGUGAAAUGUUGGGUUAAGUCCCGCAACGAGCGCAACCCUUAUCCUUGUUUGCCAGCGAGUAAUGUCGGGAACUCCAGGGAGACUGCCGGUGAUAAACCGGAGGAAGGUGGGGACGACGUCAAGUCAUCAUGGCCCUUACGAGUAGGGCUACACACGUGCUACAAUGGCGCAUACAGAGGGCGGCCAACUUGCGAAAGUGAGCGAAUCCCAAAAAGUGCGUCGUAGUCCGGAUCGGAGUCUGCAACUCGACUCCAUGAAGUCGGAAUCGCUAGUAAUCGUGGAUCAGAAUGCCACGGUGAAUACGUUCCCGGGCCUUGUACACACCGCCCGUCACACCAUGGGAGUGGGCUGCAGAAGAAGAUAGGUAGUCAACAAGUCGUAAGCAAG